rnacentral:rRNA from 1 species
GGUUUGAUCAUGGCUCAGAUUGAACGCUGGCGGGAUGCUUUACAUGCAAGUCAGACGGCACGGACUUCGGUCUGGUGGCGAGUGGCGAACGGGUGAGUAAUGUAUCGGAACGUGCCUAGUGGCGGGGGAUAACUACGCGAAAGCUAGCUAAUACGCCGCCCUUCGGGGGAAAGCGGGGGACCUUCGGGCCUCGCACUAUUAGAAACUGACGCCGAUAUCGGAUUAGUUGGUGGGAGUAACGGCUCGCCAAGGCGACGAUCCGUAGCUGGACGAAGGACGACCCGGCACACGCUGGGACUGAGACACGGCCCAGACUCCUACGGAGACAGCAGUGGGGUACCUGGACAAUGAUAAGGAAACCCUGAUCCAGCCAUCCCGCGUGUGCGAUGAAGGCCUUCGGGUUGUAACGUUUUGGCAGGAAAGAAUCGGCAUACCGCAGCUGACUGGCCACCUGCAGAAUAAGCACCGGCUAACUACCGUGCCAGCAACCGCGGUAAUGCGGGGUGCAAGCGUUAAUCAGAUUACUGGGCGUAAAGCGCGUGCGCGAACGGUUCGGAAGAAGAUGUGAAAUCCCAGAGCUUAACUGGAACUGCAUUUUUAACUACCGAGCUAGAGUGUGUCAGAGGAGGUGAUUGCGUGUAGCAGUGAAAUGCGUAGAUAUGCGGAGGAACACCAUUGAAGGCAGCCUCCUGGGACACUGACGCUCAUGCGCGUGGGGAGCAAACAGGAUUGGAAUACCCUGGUAGUCCACGCCCCUAAACGAUGUCAACUAGCUGUUGGGGCCUUCGGGCUGUUGGCGCAACUAACGCGUGAGAUUGACCGCCUGGGAAGUACAGUCGCAAGAUUAAAACUCAAAGGAAUUGACGGGGACCCGCAAGCGGUGGAUGAUGUGGAUUAAUUCGAUGCAACACGAAAAACCUUACCUACACUUGACAUGUCUGGAAUCCCGAAGAGAUUUGGGAGUGCUCGCAAGGAGAACCGGUUUAGGUGCUGCAUGGCUGUCGUCAGCUCGUGUCGUGAGAUGUUGGGUUUAAGUCCCGCAACGAGCGCAACCCUUGUCGGUAGUUGUACGAAAGGGCGGCACUCUAAUGAGACUGCCGGUGACAAACCGGAGAGAGGUGGGGAUGACGUCAAGUCCUCAUGGCCCUUAUGGGUAGGGCUUCACACACGUCAUACAAUGGUCCGGGACAGAGGUCGCCAACCCGCGGCGAGAGGCCAAUCCCAGAAACCCGAUCGUAGUCCGGAUCGCAGUCUCUGCAACUCGACUGCGUGAAGUCGGAAUCAUAGUAAUCGCGGAUCAGCAUGUCGCGGUGAAUACGUUCCCGGGUCUUGUACACACCGCCCGUCACACCAUGGGAGUGGGUUUACCAGAAGUAGUUAGCCUAACCGUAAAGGAGACGUUACCACGGUAGGAUUCAUGACUGGGGUGAAGUCGUAGCUAAGGUAA